UUUUAGUGGCGGACGGGUGAGUAACGCGUGGGUAACCUGCCUCACACUGGGGGAUAACACUUAGAAAUAGGUGCUAAUACCGCAUAAGCGCACGGGACUGCAUGGUCUUGUGUGAAAAACUCCGGUGGUGUGAGAUGGACCCGCGUCUGAUUAGCUGGUUGGCGGGGUAACGGCCCACCAAGGCGACGAUCAGUAGCCGACCUGAGAGGGUGGACGGCCACAUUGGGACUGAGACACGGCCCAAACUCCUACGGAAGGCAGCAG
rnacentral:rRNA from 1 species